rnacentral:lncRNA from 1 species
GAGUCCCGGCCGCUUGACUCAGCGAGGCGCGGUGUGGUUUUUUCCUGAGGAGGCUGAAACGGAUGAUCCCUAACGUCUCUUCCGACGGUGCAGUAUGUUACACACUGCUGGCUCCAUUGCCCCUUAUUGCACCCCAAGUGCAAGAAGAAAGAAAGGAACCUGGGAUGAUCUGAGCAAGACUCUCAGCUUGGGAUCUAGAGUCAGAGAAACUUGGAUAUGGGAUGUUGGAGGACAUCUGGGGACCACAAAUACUCCUUCUCCUGGAGAUGCAACUCAAGGUAGUGCAAGCAGCAGCUGUUGACCCCAGUGGCACAUAUGCUUGCCUGGCCUAUCUGCACUUGAGCUUCCUACGGGUGCCCAUCUUGGCCUGCAUGCUGCAGGACUUGUGCUUCUGUGCAGAUACCUCUGAUUCUUCUCCUCUUCAAAAGGAAAAAGGACUCAGAUAAGAGAGGAGGUUAGGGAAAGAAGACUUGAACUACUUUUUUUUUUUUUUUGAGACGCAUUCUUGCUCUGUCAUCCAGGCUGGAGUGCAGUGGCGUGAUUUCAGCUCACUGCAACUUCUAUCUCCCGGGUUCAAGUGAUUCUCCUGUCUCAGCCUCCCAAGUAGCUAGGAUUACAGGCGCAUGCCACUGUGCCUGGCUAAUUUUUGUACUUUUAGUAGAAAUAGGGUUUCACCAUGUUGGCCAGGCUAGUCUCAAACUCCUGACCUUGUGAUCCGCCCGCCUCGGCCUCCCAAAGUGCUGGGAUUACAGGCGUGAACCACUGCACCCGGCCCAGACUCUCUAUUCUUUUGCUGAAGGCUUUUAUCAAUCUGAUGCCAGCCUACGUUUCUGGCUUUCUCUCCCAGAACAUCUUAGUAUGUACUGUUCACUGUCAUCACACUAGACUACCAACUGUUUCUCAAAAACACUUUUUCUGCCUCUUCACCUUUGCUCAUGCUUAUCUUUCUAUCUGGGAGGGUUCCUUCCACCAUUCAUCUCUCCAUUUAAAAAUAUUUUUUGAGCACUUUUUAUUUUGAAAAAUUUCAGUGCAGAGAAGUUGAAAGAAUAGUACAGUGAACAGCUAUGUAACCUACACCUGGAUUCGCCAGUUGUUAUUGCCAUGUUUCUUUCUUUUCUCUCUCUUUUUAUCCUGGACCAACUGAAAAUAAGUUGCGGGCAUUAUGACACUUUACCCCUAAAUAUUUUGGUCUGUAUCUCCUCAUAAUAAGGACAUCAUCCUGCAUAACCACAAUCUUUUCUUUUCCUUUUUUUGUUGAGACUGAGUCUCACUCUGUCACCAGGCUGGAGUGUAGUGGUACGACCUUGGCUCACUGCAUCCUCCACCUUCUGGGUUCAAGCGAUUCUCCUGCGUCAGCCUCCCAAGUAGCUGGGACUACAGGCGUGCAACCCCAUGCCCAGCUAAUGUUUGUAUUUUUAGUGGAGAUGGGGUUUCACCAUGUUGGCCAGGAUGGUCUCGAUCUCUUGACCUUGUGAUCUGCCUGCCCUGGCCUCCCAAAGUGCUGGGAUUAAAGGCAUGAGCCACUGCGCCUGGCCAGUCUUUUCUUAAAAAAAAAAAAAAAAAAAAAAAAAAAUCUGGGACUGAGUGUGGUGGCUCAUGCCUGUAAUCCCAGCACUUUGGGAGGCCAAGGUGGGAGGACCGCUUAAGGCCAGGAUUCAAGACUAGCCUGGACAACAUAGUGAGAUUCCCAUCUCUACAAAAAUAUUUAAAAAUCAGCCUGGGUGACAAAGUGAGACCCUGUCUCAAAAAAAAAAAAAAAAAAAAA